rnacentral:rRNA from 1 species
GAUGAACGCUGGCGGCGUGCCUAAUACAUGCAAGUCGAGCGAACAGACGAGGAGCUUGCUCCUCUGACGUUAGCGGCGGACGGGUGAGUAACACGUGUAUAACCUACCUAUAAGACUGGGAUAACUUCGGGAAACCGGAGCUAAUACCGGAUAAUAUAUUGAACCGCAUGGUUCAAUAGUGAAAGACGGUUUUGCUGGCACUUAUAGAUGGAUCCCCGCCGCAUUAGCUAGUUGGUAAGGUAACGGCUUACCAAGGCAACGAUGCGUAGCCGACCUGAGAGGGUGAUCGGCCACCCGGGAACUGAGACACGGUCCAGACUCCUACGGGAGGCAGCAGUAGGGAAUCUGCCGCAAUGGGCGAAAGCCUGACGGAGCAACGCCGCGUGAGAUAUGAAGGUCUUCGGAGCGGAAAACUGUGUUAUUAGGGAAGAACAAAUGUGUAAGUAACUAUGCACGUCUUGACGGUACCGAAUCAGAAAGCCACGGCUAACUACGUG